rnacentral:tRNA from 1 species
AAUUGAGAAGCAAUGGUAGAUUGGGACUUGUUAUAAUGGUUUCGACCGGAUAUCUCGAGAGAUUAGUAAUAGUGAUUUGCAAAAAUAAAACAUUGAAAAAAAUAAAAAUUUAACUGCCUCCUGUGGGAAUUGAACCCACGGUCCCCGCAUUACGAGUGCGAUGCCUUACCACUUGGCCAA